GCGAUGGUUGUCGUCAGCUCGUGUCGUGAGAUGUUCGGUUAAGUCCGCAACGAGCGCAACCCUCGACCUUAGUUGCCAGCAUUCAGUUGGGCACUCUAAGGUGACUGCCGGCUAAAAAGUCGGAGGAAGGUGGGGAUGACGUCAAAUCAUCAUGCCCCUUAUGACCUGGGCUACACACGUGCUACAAUGGGCGGUACAAAGGGUCGCGAACCCGCGAGGGGGAGCCAAUCCCAAAAAGCCGCUCUCAGUUCGGAUUGCAGGCUGCAACUCGCCUGCAUGAAGCCGGAAUCGCUAGUAAUCGCGGAUCAGCAUGCCGCGGUGAAUACGUUCCCGGGCCUU
rnacentral:rRNA from 1 species